GCCGGGGUGUUGGAAUUGGUAGACAAGCACGCUUGAGGGGCGUGUGGGCGCAAGCUCGUGGGAGUUCGAGUCUCCCCCUCGGCA
rnacentral:tRNA from 1 species